rnacentral:rRNA from 1 species
GACGAACGCUGGCGGCGUGCUUAACACAUGCAAGUCGAACGAAGUGGCGAACGGGUGAGUAACGCGUAAUCAACCUGCCCUUCAGAGGGGGACAACAGUUGGAAACGAAUGCUAAUACAGCAUACUGAAGGAGGGGAUUGCGUCUGAUUAGCUAGUUGGAGGGGUAACGGCCCAACAAGGCGAUGAUCAGUAGCCGGUCUGAUGGGAGUAACGGCCAAAAUUGGACGGGGACACGGCCCAGACUCCUACGGGGGGCAGCAGUGGGGAAUCUUCCGCAAUGGACGAAAGUCUGACGGAGCAACGCCGCGUGAGUGAUGACGGCCUUCGGGUUGUAAAGCUCUGUUAAUCGGGACGCGGUACCGGAAUAGAAAGCCACGGCUAACUACGUGCCAGCAGCCGCGGUAAUAC